AGUAACUGCGAGUGAAGCGGCAAAAGCUCAAAUUUGAAAUCGGUGUGCCUAAGGUACAUUGAGUUGUAAUUUGGAGGGACAACUUCGGGCUGAACCACACCGUAAGUUCCUUGGAACAGGACAUCAUAGAGGGUGAGAAUCCCGUGUCUUGGUGUCGGGUCAAACCAUGUGAAGUGUCUCCGACGAGUCGAGUUGUUUGGGAAUGCAGCUCAAAAUGGGUGGUAAAUUUCAUCUAAAGCUAAAUAUUGGCGAGAGACCGAUAGCGCACAAGUAGAGUGAUCGAAAGAUGAAAAGCACUUUGAAAAGAGAGUUAAAAAGUACGUGAAAUUGUUGAAAGGGAAGCGCUUACGACCAGACUCGAUCUUUGGUGAUCAGCCAGACUUCGGUUUGGUGCCCUUGCCAUUGAUUGGGCCAGCAUCGGUUCCGGCGGUGGGAUAAAAGGAGGAGGAAUGUAGCUCCUCUCGGGGAGUGUUAUAGCCAACUUCACAAUGCUACCAGCUGGGACCGAGGACCGCGCUUCGGCUAGGAUGCUGGUGUAAUGGUCUUAAGCGACCCGUCUUGAAACACGGACCAAGGAGUCUAACAUCUAUGCGAGUGUUCGGGUGGAAAACCCUUGCGCGUAAUGAAAGUGAACGGAGGUGUGAACCCUUCACGGGGUGCAACAUCGACCGGUCCUGAUGUCUUCGGAAGGAUCUGAGUAAGAGCAUAGCUGUUGGGACCCGAAAGAUGGUGAACUAUGCCUGAAUAGGGUGAAGCCAGAGGAAACUCUGGUGGAGGCUCGCAGCGGUUCUGACGUGCAAAUCGAUCGUCAAAUUUGGGUAUAGGGGCGAAAGACUAAUCGAACCAUCUAGUAGCUGGUUCCUGC
rnacentral:rRNA from 1 species